rnacentral:rRNA from 1 species
GAUGAACGCUGGCGGCGUGCCUAAUACAUGCGAGUCGAGCGAACAGACGAGGAGCUUACUCCUCUGACGUUAGCGGCGGACGGGUGAGUAACACGUGGAUAACCUACCUAUAAGACUGGGAUAACUUCGGGAAACCGGAGCUAAUACCGGAUAACAUGUUGAACCGCAUGGUUCAACAGUGAAAGACGGUCUUGCUGUCACUUAUAGAUGGAUCCGCGUCGCAUUAGCUAGUUGGUAAGGUAACGGCUUACCAAGGCAACGAUGCGUAGCCGACCUGAGAGGGUGAUCGGCCACACUGGAACUGAGACACGGUCCAGACUCCUACGGGAGGCAGCAGUAGGGAAUCUUCCGCAAUGGGCGAAAGCCUGACGGAGCAACGCCGCGUGAGCGAAGAAGGUCUUCGGAUCGUAAAACUCUGUUAUUAGGGAAGAACAAAUGUGUAAGUAACUAUGCACGUCUUGACGGUACCUAAUCAGAAAGCCACGGCUAACUACGUG